ensembl:lincRNA
AGCUUCAGGAUGUUGACAGUGUGACGUUUGUUUUGGUGCAGCAGCAGCAGCACGAGUGUGCAGUUUUCAACACAUAAACUGAAGAUGACAGCUCAGCGACAGUGUUUUAAUGUCACUAAACAACAUUUAAUGCAGUCCGACAACUAAAAUAACCGACACACGCUGAGAUAAAGGACAGGAAUGCAGUGAAAAGCGACUCAUCUAGAAUGAGGGAUGUGUUUGGACCGUACAGUCAACAGAAGCAGAGCUCCGGGACGUUUGGACUACAUUUACUGGCGUGAUGGACGUCUGCUGCGGACAGGAAAAGAACACAGAAGUGAAGACGGUGUGAUCAAGACUGAACACAG